UUGCUUAAAAUAAUUAAAUAAAGUAGCAUCUCAAUACUGAUAUCGAAAAUGUUCCAAAUAAAAAUUUAUUAACCGAGUGUAACAACCUUGUUGCCUUAAAAAAAAAAAUAUUUCAAGUUAAGAUUUCUUAUGUCAGCAAAGUUUAAGAAUUUAUUGGACAACACUUAAACUUUAUUUUCACAUAUUGUCUAUUAUUUAAAAUGACGAAACAACGUAAUUACAGGAAAUGAAAGUCUUCUUGUUACAAUUUGACACAGCCAUUUAAAAAAAAAGGAAAAUCUCUUUAUCACAUGUAUUUUAUACAUGUAAAAAAUGAACGUACGAAAGAAUCUCUUUUCCUUUUAACUAAUACGUUAUAACUAACAAGAUAUUUUUCAAUGAAUUGUGCGUAGAUUGCAACGCAGUAUAAAAGUUUUGCGCCAUUUUCGACGAUCUGCUGUUAAAUCUAGGAAUCUCGGUGGAAAUGAUGACUCAGAUUCGCCGAAGUUAUUAAACCGCAGCCACGAGCAUCUAUUCAACACCGCCUGGAUUAUUGUGCAUCGAUAUUUUACCAAGCGAUUAACAAUAGUGCUUAUGUCAGCACCGAGGCAAGCGUCGCGUCCAGUUUGAAAAUGUUCAACGAGGAAUAAGUGCAUUUAAAUAUAGAUUUCCAGUCAGAGAACGAAUAUGUUCUUCCUACGAGCUUGCGUCCUACACUACGGCCCAGUUUGCCCCUCGUCCCCUCCGUCUCUCUAUUCAUCAUAUCAACGCUUGGUGUACUCGUUUAGUCGAAUCUCGAAAUGAUAAUCGAUCGAAAAUCAAACGUGCCGGGCGCAUUAUCCCGCGGAGACAAUAGACACGAGAGAAUCGUGGGAGAGAAACGCGAACAGCGCGGUUUCCUUGAUUAUGAUGUCUGAUAUUAAACUUUACUCUACCAUCGAACACGGGCACCUCAGCGUGAAACUUUCAUCAGAUUCGAAGAUUGUUUUUUUAAAAUAACCGGCAGAUCGAUGAAAUCUCGAGGACAGAAACCGAAGAUAAAAAAAAAGGAAGGAAAUAUUUUAAUAUCCGAGUGAAAAGACGAAUAACUAGUUGGAUCUAGAACUAAUUGAUCGCGUACGAAUUUUAAAAUCAUAGUAACUUCUCUAGAAUGAACUGGAAAGCUAACUUGUCACGUACGUUUCUUAUUUCUUUCCAUAUGAAGGAGAAAACGCAUAGAUGUUUGAAUGACGAUAGUUAUUUGUAAUGAUGUUCCACAAAUGAAAUAUACACAUCAGACGAUGUUGAACUUGGACCAGUUGGCGCGAAAUUGAGGAGCCAAAUGCUUUCGAAGAAGUUGCCUCCGGGCCAUGUGUCAUCGAGAUAUACGGCUCUCGUAUAUCUCAGUACCCUGAAUUUUCGAGAACAAUGAUUUAAGAUCUUUUUAUGACUUGAGAAAUAAUCGAUAAUUAAUUUAAUAAUUCGUCGAUUGUACAUUUCUCAGUGGUUUCCGAGAUUGUUCACGAAAAUCGAAUCGGUAGGUGUUUUGUUUUUAAAAAAAAAAUCAAUGAUGAAUGGUACGACGGUUUAUUUUUAUUGUUGAAAUGAAAUCAUAGCACUGAAAGGGAAUCUGACAUCAAUUGAACGCCUGUGUGUAUUAUCCGUGACAGUAAACCGUCUGAGAAAUGUUUGCACAGGUGUUAACAUAGUUUCCCUUCUAUAGACUUGGACAACCCCAGCUGUUUGAAUAAUUAAUCUUUAAUAAACGUGGGUAUUACUCUGUCGAUAUAAACUGGUUUCUGAAAAUCGGUGAAUUCAUCAAUCACCAAUGUCUAACUUUAGUUUUCCUAGUCGAACGAAAAUGAUCUAACGAAUCUAAAAUCAGGGGAACAUAAAAAAUACAAAUUUAAAAGUACGCAAGAGACUGGAACACAUGAGAGAGUCGGAACAUGAAGCUAUUUAUCCAUGAAUGUCCUUGCUUCAAGCACGAAAAUCAAAAAAUUGCAAAACUCGUAGAAAUAUUCUGAAUGUGAGUGUGUGAGGGCAGCGGGGCAAAGUGAGAUACGUGUCACGUCCGAGCCACCUCUGUGUCUUGAUUCAUCUCCCUGAUUGUAUCGGCAAAGAAUCCGUUUGAUUCAACCGAUCCACCAGAGUUCUUGCAUCUGUUUCUUACAUCAGCAUUCGCAGCUCGGACGAGCGCGAGACGAGUGGAGAAUACAGGAAGUCCUCUGUUUAAACGACACGCCUGUGCCGGGAUUACACGUUGAGUGGAAGUCACGAGCGAGUGUGUUCUGCUGGCUUAACCCACUGAAUCUUCGAUCUUGAUGUCUAUUCCUCCCUCUGUAAACACCGUGUUCGAGCGCAAUACUACUUAUAAACUGUUUACACAUGGAAUAUAACCCAGUUUCGUUAACCAGUGAUAAAUGUAACGUUGUACAUGCACAUACAUGCAUGUAUGCAGAAGAUAAGUCUGUACUUGAUGAUUGAGUGGGUAUUAACAUCACUUAUGCCUACAUGCGGUGGCGAAUGUACAUGCAAAUAUGUAAAUAAGGAAAGAUAUGCUAAGUUCAGCUUAACCAGUUUGCAGUUAUUGCUCAGAAUAAAAAUUUGAAAAAAAAACCUUCAAAGUAUCAUGAAUAUAAGCGUCAUAGAAAAGUCUGUAGAAAAUAGCAAUAAUCCAUAACAGUUAACGUGUUUAUGCUACUAUUUCUUAGCAUCUCAUUUUUUUUAUAAAUCAUAGGUUUUUGGGAGAAAAAAAAAAAAAAGAAGUUUCACUUACUUUGUUUCACAUACUAUUCAAUGUGAUGGGUUAAACAAAUUUUUUUUAAUUCAUUUGAGCGAAGGAGGAGAAAAUUUAUUAUAACAAAAAUACGAAUAUUGCAGUUUUUUUUUUUUUUGUUGGAAAGUCUCAAGGUAAAGAUGAAUGUUUAGUAUGUUGUUUCGAGGUAAGAUCCAUGGGGGACAAAUGCUACCACGGCUGUUGCAAAAAAGAAAGAAUGGGAAAGGCCAGGCGUUUUAACAUGAAAGCGCGCACAUCUGGUGGACAAGCCGUUGAAAAGGGCGCGUCCUGUCCCGGUUUGUCCGUUUCGCAAGAAUACUUCAUUAUUUAUCCAUACGGCACACUCUGAAUGACGCUUAAGCCGUAAACCAGAAUUCUCGUCCCUUGCUUUCUUUGUUUCAAUGAGACCAAGAAGGUCAGAUUAUUUUAUAUUUUGCAGGCAAAAUGGGAAAGCAUCUCCCUUUGCAGCACGUCGUUUGCUCCAUAAAAAAGGGGGAGAAAAAAAUAAUCGUAACUACUACUGGAUUCUAUUGAACUUUCAUUGUCAAAAUUAUGAACUGGAGGGCUGACUAACUCUUGUAUAGAACAUUUCCUUUCCUUUCAGAUUUCUAAAGAUUUUGUUUUCAAUUUUUACUUUCAGGUAGUGUAUAUAUGCUGUUUGAAGUAAAAAGAAGAAAGAUUAUAAUUGGAAAAUUUAGUUCAAGAAAUUGUGAUAACCGUUUAGAAAAGAAUAACUUAUAGGAUGUAAAAUUUCUGUAUGCUAUUCUGCUCGGAACGUGAACUGUACUGUAACUUCCUGUUCCCUUCUUAGGGAGGCCAGGCAACGGUACCCUGUUUAUCAUGAAAAAAGGCCCCACUGAACCCUGAAAGCUUUCAAAAAAGCGUUAUCGUAAUCUAUAGUAGUACUCUGUCUUUUAGAAAAUAACUUGUAAGACCUUUUAACGCAUCUCUUUCGCACAUCGAUGGUUUCCUAUCAGUCUUGCGCAACAAUCUUUAAGAAGGGAAAAAAAAAAAGAAUUUUAGACUCUCGUCUAAUUAGCUUCUGUUUGAGAAUUUUUACAGCACUCGUUGUCAGUUUAACAACUUCCUUUGGAUCUUUUAUUCGUCUACUUUCUGUUUUUCUUAAAAAAUAAUUCUAUUCGCCUUAAAGUUAAAGAAAGAGAAGAUUAACGAAAAAAUUAAUUAAUUUAAGAUCUCAAACAAUUAAACUAAGAUCUGGUUUUUAUUUUCUUCUAAUAAACUUUUAUACGAUCUUUUAUCAGAUAAAUAAACUGUAUAACAUAUUUAUACAAACUUAUAUUCUCACGAACACAAGUUGAAGAGAUGAAAUUUAAAAAACGAUCAAUUCUCAAGAUUUUAUACAUUUUGUGUAUAUUAUGAAUUUUUGCCACUUAAAAUUUCACCACACAGUCCACUGAUACGAAAUUAUCAAUAAAAGUUGAUCGAUAUUCUCUAA